AGAGGAAGAGAAUCUCUUGGGCUUCAGCUGUUUCCUGUGUUCUAUAUCUCCAGGGUUUUCCUUCAACUGUUGGGUGAGAUAUGUUUGUAGAUCAUCACCUCUGGAAAAGUAGAUGAUUAUCACCUCUUCUGGAAGGACUAGACCUUGAUCUUAAAGAGUCUUUAUAUAUACAGUCAUAGAAACGCAGAGAAGGACUUAUUUAGGUUGGCAAAGGCCUUCAGGAUCACCAAGUACAACCACCGACCUGAACUACUGAGUCCUGUCACUAGACCUUGUGCAGUGGGAGCUCUGAUGUCUGCUCCGUUUUAGACCCUGAAAAUAGUCAUCGGAAAACAGCAGGUUAUAAUAAAAAGGGAUUCUUUUUAAAUCACGAGGAAAUUAUAAUUAAUAAUAACUGGAAAUGCUAGAUGACUGAAGGGGAGAAAAUAUUCCGCAUUCUACUGGAAGAUAUACUCCCACUCCUGACCAUUGCUGCAAAAAAAAACAUGCCAAAUGGCAUAGAAGACAUGCGUUUUGCUAGGAUUUUCUCUUUAAAAUAUUUGGUUAAGUAGAAACGCUUGUGGGUGUUUAUGUCAGGAAAAAUGUAUAACUUGGAUAGCUGCACAACCUGAAUUUAAUUUCCUUGGCUUUGAAAAUUCCAUGCCAGAAAUAUUAAUUAUAUAAUAAUAUCAUAUAAAUGAGUGAAACAUUCCAUCAAAAACAUUUCUUCAACAGAAAUUUCAGAUAGAAGAGAAUUGCAACAUUUGUAUGCAUUAGAAGUUGUCUACCAUGGCUUUAUGAAGAAAGAGUUGAAAAUACAAGAAACUUGACACCAGAGUUCUUUUCUAAGCAAACAAUUUAAAAUGUAUUUCUUAAAGUAUUUCUUUACUAGUUGCUCAAGUUUACUCAUAUCUCUACUUACUUGCAGUUAUUCCUAUAUGUUUAAGUAAUGCUUCCAGAUUGCAUCCAUUUUAAACUUUCUCACUGUAAAUUCAAAAGUAAUUGUUUUCAGUCUAAUGGCAAACUUUUGAAACGGAAGAUUAUCUACAUUAUCUUCAGUAACAGUACUUUUGUCAUUAAUCUAUUUGUCAAACUACAUAAAAGUUUUUAUGUCGUUUAAAAAACAGCUUUUUAAAGCUUGAGAACUUUAUUUACUGAAGCUUUAGGAUAUGAUUCAAGCCUGAUGUGAUGCAGAGCCAUACUUUCUACUUGUCUAUAAGGGACCAGGGUUCACAAACCUAAACUCAAGUUUCCUAUUAGGCAGACAUACACUGUGAUAUUCCUGUUCCUAUCAUCUAGGAGUGAAACCCACUUACAAAUAAGUUGUUGAUUGUCUUAGUUUCACUUCCAAAUAACAAAAGAGCGAAGAGCUGAAGUCUGCUCUUUGGAUUUGGUUAGUCAGUAGACUAACCAAAAUUUAAGUACGUGUUAUAGUAUUGCAUGGGGAAAAAAAAAGUGCAAUAGUCUUUGUCAUUAAAUACCUCAUUAAAAGUCAUAUUUUCUGGUGGAUAGGAAAAUAAUUAAAAAAAAAAAUAAAAAAAAAGGAAUAAAUGAAGAAGUCAUGGUCACUGUAGAUUGGUUUACCAGAGUUAUUUGAAACAUGUUCAGAGAAAAUAGCGUUGCCAAAAGAGAAGCUGUUUUAUUGGCAAUAGUCUUAUGAUCUUACAUUGUUAGCAUCGCUCUACAGUACGGGUCUAUUUCAUCCAUUGUGCUUCACCAGAAAUCUGUCUGAUAAAGCAAUUAUCCAGAGAAAGUGAACUUCAUGUGCAGCUGCACUGUUUCAGUACAGAUAGAAACUUGCUGUACUCAGGUAAUUUCUGUCCUUAAUUCCAUCAUCUCCCACACAGGUUUUAGGAGACCACUCAGUCCAGUAAUGAUGUUUUGGCAUAAUAUGAUGAGUGGGGCCCUUACAGCAACAUUUUUGCAGUAUGUGUGUAAUGUGUUUUUUUCACAAUUUAAAAAUAACAGCAAAUGCUGAUAAUCUGUACCUCAUUUUUUUUAAUCACUAAUUUAUUUUACAAGUAUGAUUGCUGAAGCAUACAUAUGCAUAUUCAGUAUAAACAGAGAUAGUUGAAUGCAUCUGCCAAUAUACAUAUAUAUUAAUUGUUGUAAUAAUGUGGUAAAUUAGUAAAAAUUCGAUUUAAAAGAAAGAAAUAUACAAAAAUAUUUAAAAUGCUUGUGCCAGAACAAAAUGACCUGCCAAAAAAGCUUAGUCUCACAGCAAGUGAAAAGUAAAUUUCUUCUGAAUUUUGUGUUGUCACUGGAUCAAUAUUAAUGCUUGCUGACUAAAAAUUAUUUUUCCUAUCCUAAGUAAUGCCAUUACAACAAAAUUUUCUAUUGCAUUUGUAAAACAUUAAUAGCAAGUUGGUAAUUUUCCAAGCUUUUCUGAUCAUUUAUAAAAGAACAUAUGAUCAACCUUUGUACUGAACUAAUCAGAAAUUCAUAAUAUAAAUGAUUAGAUUUUAAUAAGUUCAUUCAACAAUCUAUUUCUGAAGUUUGUUACAGAUAAUCUGUUGCUAUAUUAAUGUAGCCUAGCAAUAAUUAACAUUCAGCUUUCUGGCACUAAUCACCGGAACCAUGGAUUCCUAGCAUUUAAGGCAGCCCUUAGAAAUAAUGCGAUAAAGCACUCAAGAGCGUUCAACCAAUUAAUGUGCUUGGAUGAGUGAGCUUUCCAAGCCAUUCAAUUUUAAAAGCAAGUGCCUCACAUCAUGGAAUUUUCUCCAUGUGGAAUUCCCUAGAAUUCUGUCCCACUAAAUGAUGGAGAAGAAAACUGUAAUCAGGAUGUGUUAAACUGAGAGGAUAUUCUGCUGAUCAAAGACAAUGGCUGCUGCUCCUAACAGUCAAAAUGUCUCAGAGAAAGAGUAUAGCUCUUGCUGUGAGUCUUUCUUUCUACGUGUUGAUUACCAUUAAGAUGCCAACAAAUGUAAUGUGUAGAUACUAUCAUUAGGCGGCAAGCCUUACUAAUCUUUGAGUGCUUUGUGAUGUGAAGGGACUUUCAAAACUUUAAUUAUACAAUUAUAUAUUACCUUUGUGUGAGGUGGAGUGGAAGAUGCUUAUGCUAUCUUGCUUUCCUUAUUUUUUCUUUAAGAGGGUCAGAAUUUCCUGAAAUGUCACGUUCUUCCAAAAAAUUACUGUAAAAUAUUCAUGUUUCGUUGAGAAAAAUAUCCAUAAGACUUAGGGAUAAAAAUGAAAUGUGACAAGAUGCAAAGAGGAAAGAAAAUUGCUGUUGGUUUCAUGCAGUAAAUACAUGAAUAUGUUUUUUCAGUGUCAGUUAAAUUUGCUCAAUUUUUUCUAUGAAAAUCUAUUUUUUCAAAAUCUUGAUGCUAAGCACAACCUCCAAAUGAUAAUAUUUCUAUACUAAAGCAGAUUUUACUGUCUGACUUUAUGACUGUCUCUACUGAUUUAUAAACUUGCUCUCUUUUAAACACUGACUGUAUUGAUAUAAAAUUAAGAAAAUAUUUUGCUAUGUAUUUAAAUUCUAGGAAGUGCAUAAUACUAAGUAGAAAGUCUAGAUUAAAAUGGUAUUUUUGAUUUUUUUUUUUAUAAGAUACUCAAAAUAAUUAAUCUAGAUUUAAAAUUUUCUUUUUUUUCUAACAUAUUUGAAAAUCAUUAAUCUGCACUUGUAUUACAGGACCAAUUUUUCCUAUUCCUGAUUAAAAGCGAAUGAAUAGUUUUAAUGUA